UGGGGCAACUUCUGGAGACCACAGAGUGAAUCACAUCAAGGGCUACUUGAUGUGGGAGCUUCUUGAGAGAGACAACUGGUCUAUCUCAUUUUAACUAUGGUGCCUGGCAAACAGUCAUUAUCUCUAACUUCACAUUCCAGCCUCCAUUACCCUUUUGUCACCUUGAUACUCUCACACUUGGUUUAAGGUACAUGACCAUUAGGUGGCAGUAAUGCAUCACUCUAGGGAAACAAAUCAAUGGUUCAGCUUAACACUUGAGAUAGAGGUAAACGUGGUCCCCAGCUUUUAUUUUAUUAUAAAGAUAUAACUUUUAAAAGCCCCCCAAAAGGAUAAGCUUAAAGACUUUGGAUUUGUUACAUGUACUCCUUAAUAAAGCCAUCAUGGAAUUCAUUCCAGUUGCCCAGGAGUUCCUUUCCCAGUCAUUUCUCCAUGUUGUAGCAGACUAGAUAAUUGGAGUCUACCGAACUUGUUUAAAUUAAUUACAGGGAAGAGUUUCCUAUCUGGAGCUCGUUCCUUUGAUUACCACCAGAAAGAGAGGAGACGGAGAAAUGAGCACAAAAUAGCCCCGGAGUUUAAUGGUACCAAAUCCCUGUGUGGUUUUUCUUCCAUUGUUCAGCAGAAUGGACUUCUGUACCCUGCUAAUUUUCAUUUUCUGUCCUUUCU
rnacentral:lncRNA from 1 species